GGAGUUGGCCGGAUAGUCGCUGUCCCUCGGGGCAGAGGAAAGUCCGGGCUCCGCAGGGCAGGGUGCCAGGUAACGCCUGGACGGCGCGAGCCGAUGGAAAGUGCCACAGAAAAUACACCGCCGAUGGCCGAAAGGCACAGGUAAGGGUGAAAUGGUGCGGUAAGAGCGCACCGCGCCCCUGGCAACAGGGGUGGCAGGGCAAACCCCACCCGGAGCAAGACCACAUAGGGGAACGAUAGUGCGGCCCGCACUGUUCCCGGGUAGGUCGCUUGAGGCGGACGGCGACGUCCGUCCCAGAGGAAUGACUGUCCAAGACAAAACCCGGCUUACAGGCCAACUCCACAU
rnacentral:RNase_P_RNA from 2 species